GACGAACGCUGGCGGCGUGCUUAACACAUGCAAGUCGAACGGAAAGGCCCUGCUUGCAGGGUGCUCGAGUGGCGAACGGGUGAGUAACACGUGGGUGAUCUGCCCCUUACUUUGGGAUAAGCCUGGGAAACUGGGUCUAAUACUGGAUAGGACCAUGCUGUAGGGGGUGUGGUGGAGAGAUCUGUUUCGGUAAGGGAUGAGCGCGCGGCCUAUAAGCUUGUUGGUGGGGUAAUGGCCUAACAAGGCGUCGACGGGUAGCCGGCCUGAGAGGGUGGACGGCAAGAUUGAGACUGCGACGGGAGGCAGCAUCCUGCAGGAGGCGGCAAUGGGGGAUAUCGUACUAUAGGCGCAAGCCUGAUGCGACGACGCCGCGUGGGGGAUGAAGGCCUUCGGGUUGUAAACAACUUUCGGACAUGACGAAGCCCUUGUGGUGACGGUAGUGGUAGAAGAAGCACCGGCUAACUACGUG
rnacentral:rRNA from 1 species